ACUCAAAGGAAUAGACGGGGACCCGCACAAGCGGUGGAUGAUGUGGAUUAAUUCGAUGCAACGCGAAAAACCUUACCUACCCUUGACAUGGCAGGAACCCCCUAGAGAUAGGGGGGUGCCCGAAAGGGAACCUGCACACAGGUGCUGCAUGGCUGUCGUCAGCUCGUGUCGUGAGAUGUUGGGUUAAGUCCCGCAACGAGCGCAACCCUUGUCUCCAGUUGCUACGCAAGGGCACUCUGGAGAGACUGCCGGUGACAAACCGGAGGAAGGUGGGGAUGACGUCAAGUCCUCAUGGCCCUUAUGGGUAGGGCUUCACACGUCAUACAAUGGCCGGUACAGAGGGUUGCCAACGCGCGAGCGGGAGCCAAUCCCAUAAAGCCGGUCGUAGUCCGGAUUGCAGUCUGCAACUCGACUGCAUGAAGUCGGAAUCGCUAGUAAUCGCGGAUCAGCAUGUCGCGGUGAAUACGUUCCCGGGUCUUGCACACACCGCCCGU
rnacentral:rRNA from 1 species